rnacentral:rRNA from 1 species
UACGUAGGGGGCAACCGUUGUCCGGAUUUACUGGGUGUAAAGGGUGCUCAGGCGGUCUUGUAAGUUAGAAGUGAAAUCCUAGGGCUCAACUCUGGAACUGCUUUUAAUACUGCAAGGCUUGAAUAUGGAAGAGGAGGGUGGAAUUUCUGGUGUAGCAGUGAAAUGCGUAGAUAUCAGAAAGAACACCAGUGGCGAAGGCGGCCCUCUGGUCCAUUAUUGACGCUAAAGCACGAAAGCGUGGGGAGCAAACAGG